rnacentral:rRNA from 1 species
GCGCGAAAACUUCGCAAUGGGGGAAACCCCGACGAGGGAAAGCCAAGUGCCAGCGCAAUGCGUUGGCUGUUUUCCUGUCUAAAAAACAGGGAGAGUAAGGGCUGGGUAAGACGGGUGCCAGCCGCCGCGGUAAUACCUGCAGCCCAAGUGGUGCUCGUUAUUAUUGGGUCUAAAUCGUCCGUAGUCGGCCAGGUAGAUGCCUGGGUAAAUCGAAGCGCUCAACGUUUCGAAUUCCAGGUAGACCGCCCGGCUUGGGAUCGGGUGAGGUGCAAGGUACUUCGGGGGUAGGGGUAAAAUCCUGUAAUCCUCGAGGGACCACCAGUGGCGAAGGCGUUGCACUAGAACGAGUCCGACGAUCAGGGACGAAGCCCUGGGGCGCAAACGGG